rnacentral:rRNA from 1 species
GAUGAACGCUGGCGGCGUGCCUAAUACAUGCAAGUCGAGCGAACAGACGAGGAGCUUGCUCCUCUGACGUUAGCGGCGGACGGGUGAGUAACACGUGGAUAACCUACCUAUAAGACUGGGAUAACUUCGGGAAACCGGAGCUAAUACCGUAUAAUAUAUUGAACCGCAUGGUUCAAUAGUGAAAGACGGUUUUGCUGUCACUUAUAGAUGGAUCCGCGCCGCAUUAGCUAGUUGGUAAGGUAACGGCUUACCAAGGCAACGAUGCGUAGCCGACCUGAGAGGGUGAUCGGCCACACUGGAACUGAGACACGGUCAAGACUCCUAAGGGAGGCAGCAGUAGGGAAUCUUCCGCAAUGGGCGAAAGCUUGACGGAGCAACGCCGCGUGAGUGAUGAAGGUCUUCGGAUCGUAAAACUCUGUUAUUAGGGAAGAACAAAUGUGUAAGUAACUAUGCACGUCUUGACGGUACCUAAUCAGAAAGCCACGGCUAACUACGUG